GCCUUCGUGGUGUAACGGUAGCACACUCGGCGCCUAUUCGAGAGGUCCAGGUUCGAAUCCCGGAGAACGCA
rnacentral:tRNA from 1 species